rnacentral:lncRNA from 1 species
UGUUUUAUUCCUAAUGUUUUCUUUUGGAUCUGGUUUUUUAAUUGAUGUUUUCUGAAUCAAUUUUUUCAUCUGCAGAGGGUUUUUUUAUAGAUCUAGAACACAAAUCUCGUUAUCAACCUUUCAUCUUUAUCGCAUUCGUUGGGUUUGGAUGUUUCAAACUAUUAAACUUUUAUUUCAUUAUAUUAGUUACACUCCAGAUCUGGUUUUAAUUAGAAACCUCAAUUCUUGGUCAGAUUUACAGCGUUGUCGGUGAUUUGGAAUAUCAAGAUUUUGGAACGGGGGGUUUUGAGUUUGAUGUUUUCGAUUUAUUUUCUUAUGAAGUUUAUUUAGCUUUUACGUCAGAUCUGGUUUUAAUUGAUAAACUCGAUUCUUGGUCAGAUUUAGAGGCGUUCGUUGCUUUGGAUAUCAAAGAUUUUGGAUCAGGGGGUUUUGAGUUUCAUGAUUCUGAUUCACUUGACUUUUAUUUUCUUAUGAAGUUGCUUGUCCGGUUUUGAUUGAAAACCCCAAUUCUUGGUCAGGUUUAGGGAUGCUGUUGGUUUGCAUAUGAAGAAUUUGGAUCUUGGGGUUCACGGGUUCAUGAGUUUGAUGUUUCACAUACCCUUUUGUUGAGUUUAUCAUUUUCUAGUAUAUUACAGUCAGAUCUGGUAUUGAUUUGUAGCUUCAAUUCUUGGUCAGAUUUUGAGAUUCUUGGUUUGGUUUAGAGCGGCAAUGAUUGGAUAUUAAGAAUUGUGAUCAGAAGGGGUUCAGGAGUUUGUUUAAUCAGAUUUAUUUAAUUAUAUCAUUUAAGUUUCUAGUCUAAUAUGGUCAGAUCUGGUAUUGAUUCGAAGCUUCAAUUCUUGGUCAGAUUUAGAAGCGAGAGCAGUUGAUGAUUCGGUAGUGAGAGUUUGGAUCCUGUUUUCAGCCCGAGUCUUUGGUUAAGGAGAUGUUUAAUCAAAUUCUCUUGUUUUAUUAUAUCCUUAUGUUUUUGGUUUAUUGCGGUCAAAUCUGGUUUUGAUAGAAAGCCUCAAUUCUUGGUCAGAUUAAGAGCGCUGUUGGUGGUUCUCUCUGGUUAGGCGUGGUACACAGAAGCAGCUGCUUAUCCGGUGAAUUGGUCACAACUUUUGUAUGUGUGUUUUUGUAUUGGUUUAUGUUUGUUUUCUUUGCAGGUUUCUUUGUUUUGAUCUUUAGGUUGAGAUGAAGGAUUAUUACUGAAGAUAUGUUGUGUGAUUUGUGGUGGAGCUGAUUACUCCUUGGAUCAGCUGAUGGAGGAAAGCUGUGUGCCCUAAACUAUUUGGUGAGAUUUUAAAUGGAUCUAGGCUGUAGACAGUGUUACUGUGAUCAAUAUGUUGGUAGUGCUAGCAUUAAGGAUGUAGUAUGGUGUAGAAGAGAUCAAUACAGAUCCCUUAAUGUUAAGGGGAUGUAUUGAACACUCUUUGUCAUCUGACCUUUGCCAUGUCGGGUGCGCUUGCUUGGCAGGUCAAAAACCUUAAUAAAAAGAUCAUAUUUUUUGGUUGGGGGGAGAUCGCACGGGGAUUUUGCCCGGGAUCUUCCCCAGGUGUGUGUGUGUUGUGCCUUUCUGCCUUUUAUUCCAAUCAUCAAAUACCUACAUGCAACUGCAAUUGCACUUGGAUUGAAGAAGGUAACACUACCACACAUAAAGCACCGUAUUCAAAGCUCUAUUCUUAGAUAAUUUGGUGAUGUUCUCAGCCGGCCCCAAUUGGUCAAUUUGGAUGCAUAUCUCCAACAUGCAAGGUACACAUUUAACUUUCAGUUUCUAUAUUGACACAUGCUUUACAUAAUUUAUUAUCCUGCACUAUACACAUGAUAACACUCCAUGAACAUGAGUUUAGGCCAACCCAUAAGUAGUUCACAAUCUUUGAACCAGAUAAUAUUCACAUAGUAUUGCUGAUUCUGAUUGUAGAGGAUAUUCAUGACAAAGCUCAGGAUUUUCAGUUUAGUUAUGUUUUGGUGUUUUCAACUAGUGAAACUAUCUCAUUGUUUAUUUUUGAAAAUCAUAUUUUGAAAAGUAUGUUAAUAAUUUGAUGAUAUUUCCAUGGUAUAUUUUAUGAAAUUCGAUCGGAUACGAAACAAAAAAAUCUACAUAAUUUUGCUAGUGUUAAACCAGUUUUUGAAAAUGCCAAUACUUUUUAAUACUAUAAGCUGCACGUAUAUUUAGCUUUUCACACCUCAAAACGGAGUAUUUUAAAAAAUAUUCAUCAUCAUGUCUACUUCAAUAAAUCUAUGAUUUUUAUAGAAAGUAAAUGUUUCUUUGUUUACUUGGAUGGAAAAGCCCACCUUUGAACAAGAGUCUUGCUUUAAAAUAUCAAUGAUAUAUUGAUGAUAUAUUGCUCUUAGCUGUCACAUUGCCAUGUGAUUCGAAGUUAAUGGUUGUAUAUUGUCAAUAUUUUGUGAAUGGCGAAUACUUAAUGUUUGCUCAACAUUUUAGAACACUAUAUUUGAUUGUACUAAUUGAUUUAAAUUGGAAGUAUGGUUAUAUCACUUUUAGUAUGAGGAAUCGCAAAUAACAUUAAUUCAGGAGUAAGGUUCUGUUGGUACUUGAAAAGAGGUAACACCCUUCUAUCAUAUCACUGAAGGCAAAUAUUUUAGGAAAUGGUUUGUGCAUAAAAAGGUUGUAAUUAUUUGUUUGAAAGAUCUCCAAGGUUUGCACUCACUAACCUCCAUAGCCUGCAAUCUCUACACUCCAUAACCUGCAAUCAUUAGGAAAAUGCAGUAUCACAUUCUGUUGAGCUGUCAAGUACAUAACUCCAUUUGUUUCAAGUGUCAGUGCCACCAAUUUAAGUUCUUUUCAAGUUAUUUACAAUUUACUUGUCAUAUUUUGAAGUUUAAAGUUUAUUGUGAAAUUCGCACUAGAAUUUUUUUUUGCCAAAUAAUGGCUGUGCACACUUGGUUUAUGUUUCGAUUUGAGUGGGUUAUGUUCAAAAGAGUGUACAUGUUGUAAAUCAGUCAAAAGUGAGAUAUUGCAUUGUAAUACUUCCAAAAGUGUAACAUGUAGUUAUGGCGGAGUUGUGUUUUAGCACUUUUUGAGGGUCUCUGCUGGACUGGAUGUUCUUGAUAUCACAAAAACAAGUCUAAAGAGGUGCAAAUGUUAUAGUCCCUCUUGAUUAAAGGAGUUCAAAAAGGUUAUUUGGUUGGAAGAUGAGAUGCGGCAAAGGGAAGAAGGUUACUUGGUUUGAUGAUGAGAUGCGGCAAAGGAGCUGAAGCGAUGCCGAGAUAUCUGCUUUAUAAUCAGAGGUAAACAUAUUUUUACUAUAUCUUUGUAGUUUGUAGGGACAUCACUUAACGUUUGCUUGGCAGUGUCACUUAUUUUGUAUCACUGAGUCUGAUAUUUGCAGUCUGCUAUAUUUUUCUGCAGUUUUGGAUUGGUUUAAAGACGAGAUGCUUCAAAGGAGCUGAAAGGAUGCCAAUGUAAGCAUAGUUUUAGUAUAUCUUAAUUCUUAAUUCGGUUUCCAUAAUACCUUUUUGUAGCUUUUUCUCUGCGUAUCACGAUAUUAUUUUUUGUAGUUUGUAAGGACAACACUGAAUUUUUGCUUGUCAGUUUGGUUAUUUUGUAUCACUGAGUCCGACUUUUGCAAUCUGCUAGAUUUUUCUGCAGUUUUGGAUAUUCUCUUUCCUGGCGGAUGUUGUUAAGUGUUCCUUGGGUUGAAGUUCUCUGGUUAAUGAAGAGCUGAUAAUUUGUACAACAUUUAUAAAGGUAGAAGUUUGGUUUUGGCGGGUGCAACUCUACUGUGAAUAGAGUUUUCAGUGAAAGCUUCAUAAUAAGAAAUUGGUUGGAAGGUUUUUGCCACUUGUUGGAGGAAAGAACUGGAAAAUGAAAAUAAGUCUUUAAGAGGUACUUGUACAACCAUUGUCAACAAGCCAGCAUUGGUGAAAGGAGGUAUAAUGACAUUUCAUGUGUGGUCUUUGUACUUGAUUUACAAUUCUUCGGAAUUAUCGGCAUCACUAAAUUUGAAUUUCAGGCAGGUUUUGACUUCCGUGCUUUCUCUAUAUAGUACAGGGUUUAUACUGAAUUUUUGUUUCAUUUGAUUUGAUAUGAUAUGGUUCAAAUCUACGUAAUAUUUUUAGUGGAAUGAUGUAGAUGGUAAUAUUUUUGUUUUUGGCAUUGAAUACAGUUUUGCUUUUUAAAUUUGUUUUGUAUCUUGCCACCGUAUGAUCAACGUAUUUAAGCAUGGUUUGAUAUGGAGAUUGGUCUUAUGGCUUACAACUCGAUGAAUUACGAGUUAUUAUAUCUUGACAG